UGAAUACGAGACGCUAAGGCGUCGAAGUAGUGUAUGUCAUACUUCCAAGAAAAGCUUGCACUGUCAUAAGUAAAAAAUGCCUGUACCAUAACCGACACAGGUGGGUAGGUAGAGUAUACUAAGGGGCGCGAGAUAACUCUCUCUAAGGAACUCGGCAAAAUAACUCCGUAACUUCGGGAGAAGGAGUACCUUAUUCUAUAAGGUUGCAAUAACAAGAUCCAAGCAACUGUUUAUCAAAAACACAGGUCUCCGCUAAGUCGUAAGACGAUGUAUGGGGGCUGACGCCUGCCCAGUGCCAGAAGGUUAAAGAAGUCGGUUAGCAUUAGCGAAGCUGGUAACUGAAGCCCUGGUGAACGGCGGCCGUAACGAUAACGGUCCUAAGGUAGCGAAAUUCCUUGUCGGGUAAGUUCCGACCCGCACGAAAGGCGUAAUGUUUUGGAUACUGUCUCGGAGAGGGGCUCGGUGAAAUAGACUUGUCUGUGAAGAUGCGGACUACCUGCACCAGGACAGAAAGACCCUAUGAAGCUUUACUGUAACUUGAAAUUGAAAUUGGACUUUAUUCGCGCAGUAUAGGUGGGAGGUGUUGAUUAUAAUCUUGCGGGAUUAUUGGAGCCAUCAGUGAGAUACCACUCUUGUAAUGUUAGAUUUCUAACUUUGAAUCAUUAUCUGGUCAAAGGACAGUUUCAGGCGGGCAGUUUGACUGGGGCGGUCGCCUCCCAAACGGUAACGGAGGCGUACAAAGGUUUCCUCUGAACGGGUAGAAAUCGUAUCUAGAGUGUAAAGGCAUAAGGAAGCUUGACUGUGAGACCUACAAGACGAACAGGGACGAAAGUCGGUCUUAGUGAUCUGACGGUACUGAGUGGAAAGGCCGUCACUCAACGGAUAAAAGUUACUCUAAGGAUAACAGGCUGAUCUCCCCCAAGAGUUCACAUCGACGGGGAGGUUUGGCACCUCGAUGUCGGCUCAUCGCAUCCUGGGGCGGUAGUACGUCCCAAGGGUUGGGCUGUUCGCCCAUGAAAGCGGUACGCGAGCUGGGUUCAGAACGUCGUGAGACAGUUCGGUCCAUAUCCGGUGUAGGCGUUAGAAUAUUGAGAGGAGCCUUCUUUAGUACGAGAGGACCGAGAAGGACAUACCUCUGGUGUACCAGUUAUCGUGCCAACGGUAAACGCUGGGUAGCUAUGUAUGGAGUGGAUAACCGCUGAAAGCAUCUAAGUGGGAAGCCCACCUCAAGAUAAGUAUUCUCAC
rnacentral:rRNA from 1 species